UACGGAGGGGGUUAGCGUUGUUCGGAAUCACUGGGCGUAAAGCGCGCGUAGGCGGACUGUUUAGUCGAGGGUGAAAGCCCGGGGCUCAACUGCGGAACUGCCCCUGAUACUGGGAGGCUCGGAUCGGCGCGAGGCGGGCGGAACGUGGCAUGUAGCGGUGAAAUGCUUAGAUAUGCCACAGAACACCGAUUGCGUAGGCAGCUUGCCAGAGCCGUAUCGACGCUGAGGCACGAAAGCGUGGGGAGCGAACAGGAUUAGAUACCCCAGUAGUCC
rnacentral:rRNA from 1 species